GGCGCCGUAGCAAAGCUGGUAAUGCAGGGGCCUGCAAAGCCCUCACUCGGCGGUUCGAGUCCGCCCGGCGCCUCCA
rnacentral:tRNA from 2 species